CUAGCCAGUGACGGGUAUGGGCACUGAGAGAGGGAGCCCAGAGAUGGAAUCUGAGACACGAUUCCAGGCCUUACGGGGCGCAGCAGUCGCGAAAACUUCACACUGGGGGCAACCCCGAUGAGGGAAUUCCCAGUGCUAGUGGUUUUUGUGGUAGGUUUUAUUUAGUAUAGAUAGUUAAAGGAAUAAGGGUUGGGUAAGACGGGUGCCAGCCGCCGCGGUAAUACCCGCAGCCCAAGUGGUGGUCGAUAUUAUUGAGUCUAAAACGUUCGUAGCCGGUUCGCUAAAUCCCUGGGUAAAUCGGUCAGCUUAACUGACCGACUUCCGGGGAGACUGGCGAACUUGGGACCGGGAGAGGCUAGAGGUACUUCUGGGGUAGGGGUAAAAUCCUGUAAUCCUAGAAGGACCACCGGUGGCGAAGGCGUCUAGCUAGAACGGAUCCGACGGUGAGGGACGAAGCCCUGGGGCGCAAACGGGGUUAGAUACCCCGGUGGUCCAGGGUGUAAACGCUGCAGACUUGGUGUUGG
rnacentral:rRNA from 1 species